GGGACUUUAUUACUAUUAGUUUCUGCGUGGAGAAGAGCAGAUGAACUUGGGGCUUUGCCCCUUCCUGGCCCACCUCCUGUUUUCAUCACUAGAAAUGUGAACCCAGGGACACACCUGCCUGCCCUACAGCAAGAGCUCCUGCUGCAGGCAGUUUGCACAGAGAUAAAGACAUCAAGAUACAAGAAGCUCAACAAAAACCUGGGAAAAUCAUUACAAAGAAGCAAUCACUGAAACAUAUAGUUAUCAGAGUGGCCAAAGUCAACAAGAAGGAGGAAUUCCUACAAACUGUGAGGUAAAAACAUUAAGUAACUUACAAAGGAAAACCCAUCAGGCUAACCAAAGACAUCUCAGCAAGCAGAGACCUUGCAAGUCAGAAUGGAUUAGGUGCCAUCUUUGGUCUUAAAUGGAACAACUACUGGUCCAGAAUUUUGUAUCCUACAACAUUAAUUUUCAUAUAUAAACAAGAAAUAGAGACAUUUUUGGACAAGCAAACAGUAAGAGAAUUUGUCCAAAGCAGACCUGCCCUGCAGGAAAUACUCAUACAUGGAUCAGCACAAAGACACCUAUUAGUAUAAAAUCACUUAAAAGCUAAAGCUAUCAGAUCUCAUAAAAUAAUAGCACAAGAAGAAAAAGAAAUAAGGUACUACUGAAUAGGAUGAACAGUAGAGUGUCCAACAUAUCAAUUCUAUCACUCAACAUGAACUGUCUCAAUGUCCCACUCAAAAAAAAAAA